AGGCGGCGUGCAUACAUGCAAGUCGAGCGGACCGACGGGAGCUUGCUCCCUUAGGUCAGCGGCGGACGGGUGAGUAACACGUGGGUAACCUGCCUGUAAGACUGGGAUAACUCCGGGAAACCGGGGCUAAUACCGGAUGCUUGAUUGAACCGCAUGGUUCAAUCAUAAAAGGUGGCUUUUAGCUACCACUUCAGAUGGACCCGCGGCGCAUUAGCUAGUUGGUGAGGUAACGGCUCACCAAGGCGACGAUGCGUAGCCGACCUGAGAGGGUGAUCGGCCACACUGGGACUGAGACACGGCCCAGACUCCUACGGGAGGCAGCAGUAGGGAAUCUUCCGCAAUGGACGAAAGUCUGACGGAGCAACGCCGCGUGAGUGAUGAAGGUUUUCGGAUCGUAAAACUCUGUUGUUAGGGAAGAACAAGUACCGUUCGAAUAGGGCGGACCUUGACGGUACCUAACCAGAAAGCCACGGCUAACUACGUGCCAGCAGCCGCGGUAAUACGUAGGUGGCAAGCGUUGUCCGGAAUUAUUGGGCGUAAAGCGCGCGCAGGCGGUUUCUUAAGUCUGAUGUGAAAGCCCCCGGCUCAACCGGGGAGGGUCAUUGGAAACUGGGGAACUUGAGUGCAGAAGAGGAGAGUGGAAUUCCACGUGUAGCGGUGAAAUGCGUAGAGAUGUGGAGGAACACCAGUGGCGAAGGCGACUCUCUGGUCUGUAACUGACGCUGAGGCGCGAAAGCGUGGGGAGCGAACAGGAUUAGAUACCCUGGUAGUCCACGCCGUAAACGAUGAGUGCUAAGUGUUAGAGGGUUUCCGCCCUUUAGUGCUGCAGCAAACGCAUUAAGCACUCCGCCUGGGGAGUACGGUCGCAAGACUGAAACUCAAAGGAAUUGACGGGGGCCCGCACAAGCGGUGGAGCAUGUGGUUUAAUUCGAAGCAACGCGAAGAACCUUACCAGGUCUUGACAUCCUCUGACAACCCUAGAGAUAGGGCUUCCCCUUCGGGGGCAGAGUGACAGUGGUGCAUGGAUGUCGUCAGCUCGUGUCGUGAGAUGGUGGGUAGUCCCGCACGAGCGCACCCUGAUCUAGUGCCAGCAUCAGUGGUCACUCUAGUGACUGCGAUGACAACCGCAGAAAGGGGGGGAUGGGC
rnacentral:rRNA from 1 species